GCUCUGGACUUUAUUUUUGGAGGUAGCCUGUGAUGCAGGGCAGAAAAGAGCUGAUGCCUUGGAGAGAGACUGGGAGAGGAUGGAGUUAAUAGAGGGUCCCAGGGUAUCCAAGAAGCUGUCAUCCAGGUCUUCUCCAAUGAAGCUACAACAACCCACAGAGCCAGCAGGGGAACCUACACCUUCGAUAUCAUAUAUGAGCAAACAGUCAUUAGAUGGGCGUCCUUCAUCUUCAUCUGCAUGGAGUGAAUAUGAUGAUUCUGUGAAGGUUUAUUGCAACAUGGCUUUUUCAGCACAGCAACAGGAAAAUUUGACUCUGGGUCUGUUCUACAAAAUUAAAGCGUUCUCAGCACAAAAAACAGCAUAGACUGUGAGUGAUGGUGGCCAUCUUGGUUCAUGUGUAAAGACUGAAUUUCAGUGACUACCAAUGGCUAUUUCUUAGAAUGUGGCACUUACCCUGGGUUCAGGCUGUGGUCCUUCUACUGCCCAUGAAUGAAUUGCUCCAUCUGAACAUUCGGGGACAGGCUCAAAGCCAGCUGCACUACGAGGAGCACCUCCACAAUCACAACAGAUCAUCAAAAAUGGGACCACUGGUGGUGGAAGGAUAGUAAUACUAGAGUUAGCACUGGGUGCAAAUAAAAAACAAAACAACCUGAUUUUUUAUGGUUAAAU
rnacentral:antisense_RNA from 1 species